CCCAAUAUCAUCCAUCGAUCCCCUCCACGAUUCACGUCAUUAUAGACAUUGAUAUGUUCGUUCGCGUGGGAGACAUGCUUCUAUUCCUCAAGGUCAUAGCGACACGUUACACUCUCAUCGACUUAUUAGCGUGCUUCCGUAUUGCCGAACACUCGCAAGCUCACCACAACAGGGCAGACGCUUUUCCCUCGCCAGAUGCACCGCUUGAGCCUCUUCCCCUUAAGCAGUUGGAGCGAUGAUGUGCGAUGUGGGAAUUCCAUGAGCAAAAAGAGAGACGAGGGACUUUGACAGUUGGGGGCCCACGCUUCCCUCCAGGAAUGUCGGUUAAAUAUUGUUAAUCUUUAUUGUUAGUAGGUGGGAGGGAUAUAGGUUGGAAGAAGGAUGGAGAGUUUGUAAAAAGAAUAUAGAAAUUGGUUUUUACUGUUGAAAUAGAACAAGAAAUUUAUGAUGAUUUA